ensembl:misc_RNA Y_RNA Y RNA
GGCUAGUCCAAAGGUAGUGAGUUACCUCAAUUCUUGUUUUAUUUCCCUCCCUUCUCACUACUCAAGUUGACUAGCCUUUA